rnacentral:rRNA from 1 species
GCAAAUUGACACCGUAACUUCGGGAGAAGGUGUGCCGCUGGCGGUUAGUGACUUCGCGUCACGAAGCUGUCGGUGGUCGCAGUGAAAUGGCGGUUGUGACUGUUUACUAAAAACACAGGACUCUGCGAAGUCGUAAGACGACGUAUAGGGUCUGAUGCCUGCCCGGUGCUGGAAGGUUAAGGGGAUAUGUCAGCGCAAGCGAAGCAUUGAACCGAAGCCCCAGUAAACGGCGGCCGUAACAAUAACGGUCCUAAGGUAGCGAAAUUCCUUGUCGGGUAAGUUCCGACCUGCACGAAGGGCAUAACAACAUCCGCACUGUCUCGACCAGGGACUCAGCGAAAUUACAUUGGGGGUGAAGAUGCCCUCUACCCGCGGAAAGACGGAAAGACCCCAUGAACCUUUACUGCAACUUGGCAGUGAUUUUCGGGUUGUUCUGCGUAGGAUAGGUGGGAGGCUUUGAAGCCGGGCUUCCGGGUUCGGCAGAGCCAACGUUGAAAUACCACCCUGAAUAAUCUGGAAAUCUAACCUGCGCCCAUGAUCUGGGCGAGGGACACUGCCUGGUGGGCAGUUUGACUGGGGCGGUCGCCUCCUAAAUUGUAACGGAGGCGUGCGACGGUUCCCUCAGGCUGAUUGGAAACCAGCCGUAGAGUGCAAACGCAUAAGGGAGCUUUACUGCGAGACUGACAAGUCGAACAGUUGCGAAAGCAGGUGUUAGUGAUCCGGUGGUACCACAUGGAAGGGCCAUCGCUCGUCGGAUAAAAGGUACUCUGGGGAUAACAGGCUGAUCGCGCCUGAGAGUUCACAUCGGCGGCGCGGUUUGGCACCUCGAUGUCGGCUCAUCGCAUCCUGGGGCUGGAGCAGGUCCCAAGGGUUUGGCUGUUCGCCAAUUAAAGCGGUACGCGAGCUGGGUUUAAAACGUCGUGAGACAGUUUGGUCCCUAUCUUCCGUGGGCGCAGGACACUUGAGAGGAGCUAUCCAUAGUACGAGAGGACCUGGAUGGACGAACCUCUGGUGCUCCGGUUGUCACGCCAGUGGCAUAGCCGGGUAGCCAUGUUCGGAACAGAUAACCGCUGAAGGCAUAUAAGCGGGAAGCUGGCCUCAAGACUAGGUGUCCCUGACGCAAGUCACUAAAGGCCCCUCGAAGACUACGAGGUUGAUAGGCUCGGUGUGGAAGCGCUGCGAGGCGUGGAGCUAACGAGUACUAAUAGGCCGUGCGACUUGACCUU